rnacentral:rRNA from 1 species
UACAGAGGUCCCAAGCGUUGUUCGGAUUCACUGGGCGUAAAGGGUGCGUAGGCGGUCGGGUAAGUCUGAUGUGAAAUCUCACAGCUUAACUGUGAAACUGCAUUGGAUACUAUUCGGCUAGAGAGUUGGAGGGGGGACUGGAAUUCGUGGUGUAGCAGUGAAAUGCGUAGAUAUCAAGAGGAACACCGGUGGCGAAGGCGGGUCUCUGGGCCGAUACUGACGCUGAGGAGCGAAAGCGUGGGGAGCGAACAGG